rnacentral:rRNA from 1 species
CCGGGCGACCGGCGCACGGGUGAGUAACACGUAUGCAACCUGGCCGUGACAGAUGGAUAACCGGGAGAAAUCCCGCCUAAUACAGCAUGACGCCGGGAAGGGACAUCCCUUUCCGGCCAAAGGGGGCGACUCCGGUCACGGAUGGGCAUGCGGCGCAUUAGGUAGUUGGUGGGGCAACGGCCCACCAAGCCGACGAUGCGUAGGGGUUCUGAGAGGAAGGUCCCCCACAUUGGUACUGAGACACGGACCAGACUCCUACGGAAGGCAGCAG